rnacentral:rRNA from 1 species
UACGUAGGGGGCUAGCGUUGUCCGGAAUCAUUGGGCGUAAAGCGCGUGUAGGCGGCCCGGUAAGUCCGCUGUGAAAGUCGGGGGCUCAACCCUCGGAUGCCGGUGGAUACUGUCGGGCUCGAGUACGGAAGAGGCGAGUGGAAUUCCUGGUGUAGCAGUGAAAUGCGUAGAGAUCGGGAGGAACAUCAGUUGCGGAAGGCGGCUCGCUGGGACGUUACUGACGCUGAGACGCGAAAGCGUGGGGAGCAAACAGG